rnacentral:rRNA from 1 species
GGUAGUCCACGCCGUAAACGAUGUCAACUAGCUGUUGGGGCCUUCGGGCCUUAGUAGCGCAGCUAACGCGUGAAGUUGACCGCCUGGGGAGUACGGUCGCAAGAUUAAAACUCAAAGGAAUUGACGGGGACCCGCACAAGCGGUGGAUGAUGUGGAUUAAUUCGAUGCAACGCGAAAAACCUUACCUACCCUUGACAUGUCUGGAAUCCUUUAGAGAUAGAGGAGUGCUCGCAAGAGAACCGGAACACAGGUGCUGCAUGGCUGUCGUCAGCUCGUGUCGUGAGAUGUUGGGUUAAGUCCCGCAACGAGCGCAACCCUUGUCAUUAGUUGCUACGAAAGGGCACUCUAAUGAGACUGCCGGUGACAAACCGGAGGAAGGUGGGGAUGACGUCAAGUCCUCAUGGCCCUUAUGGGUAGGGCUUCACACGUCAUACAAUGGUCGGGACAGAGGGUCGCCAACCCGCGAGGGGGAGCCAAUCCCAGAAACCCGAUCGUAGUCCGGAUUGUAGUCUGCAACUCGACUACAUGAAGUCGGAAUCGCUAGUAAUCGCGGAUCAGCAUGUCGCGGUGAAUACGUUCCCGGGUCUUGUACACACCGCCCGUCACACCAUGGGAGUGGGUUUCACCAGAAGUAGGUAGCCUAACCGUAAGGAGGGCGCUUACCACGGUGGGAUUCAUGACUGGGGUGAAGUCGUAACAAGGUAAC